AGAAGGGAAACGCGCUUUGGAGAAGAGAAACACGGGCAGGGUCGGCCUGCGAACUCCCGCCAACACUCCCACCUACUGUGCAGAGAUGGCAGGCCUACCAGCCUCGAGCCCUUCUCCUACUCCAUCUCUCUCUCUCUACUGAUGCAUCCAAUCCGUCUCUCUCUCUCUCUUUAAACCACAUGAUUUCAAAAACCAUUCCCUUUCUCUCUCUAAAACCAGAGGACCCCUAUCUCUCACUCGCGCCCAGUUUCUACCUGCCUCAAGCCCAUCUCCUACUCCAUCUCUCUCCCUCUACCGAUGCAUCCACUCCCUCUCUCUCUAAACCGCACAAAACAAAGCCCAUUCCUUUUCUCUAUCUAAAACCAGAGGACCACAUGAAAACAAAAACCAGUUUCCUUUCUAUCUUUUACAAACUACAGGAGCCCUAAUACACCCUCUGCGCCUCUCAUUGGUGAAUAGAAGUGAAACCCUUAUCUUAAUCGUAGUCACACAGGAUGUCAUUGGUUGGAACAUCAGCUUAAAUACAAUAUUAGAAUAUCAGGUCGAAAAGAUGCUCCACAGAAGAUGCGGAUAAUUUUUGCCAAAGAUUCAAGAGCAAUUUUUUGUGGUAAAAUCUAGUAUUGUAAUGGACAUAUGUGUGGUGAAUGUGGUGAUUGUGUUGUAUGGAAAUGGGGCAGUAAAGAGCCAUUUUUUUGGUAAAAUUAAAUUCUGUAUUAGCUAUGUGUAGUGAAUAUGGUGAUUGUGUUGUAUAGAAAAGGCGGCAGCAAAGAAUCAUGUUUUUGGUAAAAUCCAAUAUUGUAAUGGACGUAUGUAUGGUGAAGUAUGUCUCAUGACAUCAAUCUGGAACCUGAGAAGUCAAUAUGCUAGUUAGUCUAU